rnacentral:rRNA from 1 species
CCUACGGGUGGCAGCAGUGGGGAAUAUUGCACAAUGGGCGAAAGCCUGAUGCAGCAACGCCGCGUGAGCGAUGAAGGCCUUCGGGUCGUAAAGCUCUGUCCUCAAGGAAGAUAAUGACGGUACUUGAGGAGGAAGCCCCGGCUAACUACGGGCCAGCAGCCGCGGUAAUACGUAGGGGGCUAGCGUUAUCCGGAAUUACGGGGCGUAAAGGGUGCGUAGGUGGUUUCUUAAGUCAGAGGUGAAAGGCUACGGCUCAACCGUAGUAAGCCUUUGAAACUGGGAAACUGGAGGGGAGGAGAGGAGAGGGGAAGUGCUGGUGUAGCGGUGAAAGGCGUAGAUAUAGGAGGAACACCAGUUGCGAAGGCGGCUCUCUGGACUGUAACUGACACUGAGGCACGAAAGCGUGGGGAGCAAACAGGAUUAGAUACCCUGGUAGUC